rnacentral:rRNA from 1 species
GAGUUCAAGAGUACGUGAACCUGCUUAGAGGUUAAGCCCGAUGAACCUGAAUAUCCGUUAUGGAAAAUUCAUCACUAAUAUUAUGAUAUUUAUAAUAUUAUAAAAAUAGUGUGCAAUUUUUCCAUAUAAGGACAUUGUAAUCUGUUAAUGUUAUAAAUAUUUAUUAAAAGAUCUUAUACUUAAGUUUAUUCAAAUUAGUUAUUUUCGAAUUUCUAACAUAGAAUAAAUGUAUUUGAUUUAAUAAAUCAUUGACAGAUUUAAUUAUAAUAUAGUGCUUAAAUUUUGAACGAAAUUUUACAAUAAUAUGAUAAUUCAAUUUGUUAUAUUUAUUGUAUGCGCUUAUAUGAUUAACAAUGCGAUAGAUUCAGGAUACCUUCGGGACCCGUCUUGAAACACGGACCAAGGAGUCUAACAUAUGUGCAAGUCAUUGGGUAUUUUUAAUAAAACCCAAUGGCAUAAUUAACUUAACUGUUUUUUUUAAAUGGGAUUAGUUUAUAUUUUAUUAUGAAAUAUUAAUUCAAUCCCGGGGCGUUCUAUAUAGUUAUGUAUAAUGAUAUUUAUAUUAUUUAUGCCUCUAACUAGAGCG